CUUUGGAAAGAGAGUCAAACAGUACGUGAAAUUGUUGAAAGGGAAGCGCUUGCAAUCAGACCGGUCCGGGGGUGAUCAGCCGCUGCUCGUCAGCGGUGCACUCGCCCUCGAUCCGGCCAGCAUCGGUUUGGGCGGCGGGAGAAAAGUCCCGGGAAUGUAGCUUCUCUCGGGGAGUCUUAUAGCCCGGGUCGGCAUGCCGCCCGCCUGGACCGAGGACCGCGCUUCGGCUAGGAUGCUGGCGUAAUGGUUGCAAGCGACCCGUCUUGAAACACGGACCAAGGAGUCUAACAUCUAUGCGAGUGUUUGGGUGUCAAACCCGGGCGCGGAAUGAAAGUGAACGGAGGUGGGAACCCGUCAGACGGCGCACCAUCGACCGAUCCAGAUGUCUUCGGAUGGAUUUGAGUACCAGCAUAGCUGUUGGGACCCGAAAGAUGGUGAACUAUGCCCGGAUAGGGUGAAGCCAGAGGAAACUCUGGUGGAGGCUCGCAGCGGUUCUGACGUGCAAAUCGAUCGUCAAAUCUAGGCAUAGGGGCGAAAGACCAAUCGAACCAUCUAG
rnacentral:rRNA from 1 species